rnacentral:lncRNA from 1 species
CCCUCGUAGUGUUUAGUCUGGUAUAGUAUUUAGGAAUUUCUUUGAACUUGAUAGUCGAGAUUGUUGUAAAUGUAAAUGCAUCUGAGUGUGUGGCCUAAGUGCCUGUGCACUUCUCAAUCCCUCUCCAUUGUUUGCAUGUAUUGACUGACAGCUUGUCAGGCCAGCAGCAGCACCACACACACACGCAUGUCGGAAGAGUGAGACAUUCAAGCUCAGGGUCUUCAGGAUCAGACCCCUCCAGUGAGUGGGAAAGCGAUCACAGCCAGCGAUCACGCAGCCCGAGCCCAGGGACGCACAACCGGUGUGGGACACCGACCCAGCAGCGGACCCUAAACUGCAGCACAGAGACGGAGAGUCCACCAUCGACACAGUGGCAGCUGGACAGGUGGCUUGAGAAAGUCCCUAAAAAUCAUCAGUCAUCUGACCACGACCCAGGUGGAGGACAGCGACGGACUGCGAAAUCUGACUGUGGCCGAGGACCAUCACCUGGAAGAUACUGGAGCAGAGAUUCUGAAUCCAGACGUGAUUACAGUCCAUGUGAAAGUCCAGUCCCAAGUCCAAAAUUUGACUACAGCCCCAGAAACAGUCCUCGUCCCAGCCCAGAAUACAGUCCAUGCCCCAGUCCAGGAAUUAGCCUUGUGCCGAGCCCAGUGCCAAGUGUGUGUCCAAGUCCAGGAGACAGCUUCCAAGGGAGUCGAAGUCCCAGCCCUUUACACCCUCCCAGAAGCCCCAGUCCAAGUCUCUUAAUCACCAGAGUACCUAGCCAAGGUACACAUCCUCAGAUCCAGCCACCUCAACAAGAUAGUCCCAGGCAUAUUGCACGGCCAACCGUUGCCUCUAAUCCAGCACAUCGUCCCAAAGUAAGGCCAUGGGUGCCUCUGGACCACAGUGCCGACCAGAGAAAGGAGUUUAGACCCAAAGACUCUAGAUCCAGAGACUCUCGAUCCAAAGACUCCAGACCUGGUCCUCCCCAACAACCCCCUCAUUCCGAGCACAGCUCAACAGAAAAGUCACACAAAGAUCUCACACACAAGCUUGAAGCCAUAAACUCUGAAUCCACAAGCAAGCAAAGGUUUAACUCACCUUCGAACCCCAUUUCAAAGCAUUUGUCAAAGAAAAGACCAAGCAUUAGCCCAAAACCACAAGUUAGUCACUCAUCUACAACUGACCAUAGUAUUGAACAUAAUCACAGAAGCAAUGAAACUACAGGAGUGUCAAUCCACAGUUCACACUCCAAAUCAGGCCAUUCAUCUAAUUUUAAUACUCUAAAGAGGUCCGACCGUGGUCCCUCGUCAAAGUCCAGGGACUCAUCCCGAAGCGAAAUCAACAGUCGAUCUAGUCACAGCUCGAAGACUAAAUCUUUCCCAGAUACAAAGCAGUCCAGCUCUAAACAGACUUCCCAAAAGAGUUCCAGCCCAAAGCCCAAGGUCAAACUAGGGGACGCCCCAGUGCCCAGAACCGGGCAUUCCCAAAAAGACCCAAAGACCAGAGAGAGAGAGCGAGAGUUGGACAGCCGAGGUAAUGCACAGGAAGCAACCCUGGUCCAGACCGGCAAGGAGCAGAGACAAAGAAGACUGGCGGAGGAGCAAGUAAUAAGGCGCCACUGGGUUCGGAGUUCUGAGGAAGAGAAAGACAAGGAAGACAGGAGAACAGAGGAAGGGGAAAGAGAGAGGAAACGGAGGAGGAGGAGGGAGCAGGAAGUUGAAUGGAAGGCAGUGCAGCCCAAGCAAAGACCUCACACCAACAGCCAGCAUCAAGCUCAAAAGGAAUACAAUGGACACAACCUUGAGGAGCAGAGGAGGAAGAAGAGAAGGUGGAGCAAUGAGGACAUUUCCUCAGGUCCUCAUGUGACUGACACUAGCCCUUCUCCUCCACUUUCUCCACCUUUGCCUACUCCUGUCAUCAAGCCCACUCGCCCAUCAUCUUCUUCGUCCUCAUCCUCCUCAUCAUCCUCUUCAUCCUCAUCAUCUUCCUCUGAUUCAGACUCUGAGUCUAGUUCACCCCGGAAUGUUGCCAAAGUCCCUGCAGAUUCAACAUCAAACCAAAAAACUGUGUCAAAAAGGAGGCUUGACAAACAGGGUUCUGGCACUGGUGCUCACCCCCAUGAGUCGAGCUUAAGCACACCUGAGACACAAGGUCGGGGCAGACACAAACUCUACACAUUGGUGCCUUUUGGCCGUACUGAAAAGUCCCCCACUGUUGCACAUCGAGGCCUGAGAAAACUUGUAGUGAGGAUAGACCUCUCGCUUCUGGGUAGAGUCCCCAGUGCAGAUGAGAUUAUCGAGAGACAGUCCUCGUCUUCAGCUUUGUCAACGGGAAAGGAAAAAGAAAAGACAUCGAUGAAACACUUGCACCACUUGGAC